GGCACAGUGGUCUAGGAGUAUGAUUAUCGCUUCGGGUGCGAGAGGUCCCGGGUUCAAUUCCCGGCUGUGCCC
rnacentral:tRNA from 1 species